rnacentral:rRNA from 1 species
GGUUAAGUGACUAAGCGUACACGGUGGAUGCCUAGGCAGUCAGAGGCGAUGAAGGGCGUGCUAAUCUGCGAAAAGCGUCGGUAAGGUGAUAUGAACCGUUACAACCGGCGAUACCCGAAUGGGGAAACCCAGUGUGUUUCGACACACUAUCAUGUCAUGAAUACAUAGUGGCAUGAGGCGAACCGGGGGAACUGAAACAUCUAAGUACCCCGAGGAAAAGAAAUCAACCGAGAUUCCCCCAGUAGCGGCGAGCGAACGGGGAGGAGCCCAGAACCUGAAUCGGCUUGUGUGUUAGUGGAAGCGUCUGGAAAGUCGCGCAGCAAAGGGUGAUAGCCCCGUACACUAAAAUGCACAGGUCGUGAGUUCGAUGAGUAGGGCGGGACACGUGACAUCCUGUCUGAAUAUGGGGGGACCAUCCUCCAAGGCUAAAUACUCCUGACUGACCGAUAGUGAACCAGUACCGUGAGGGAAAGGCGAAAAGAACCCCGGCGAGGGGAGUGAAAUAGAACCUGAAACCGUGUACGUACAAGCAGUGGGAGCACCUUCGUGGUGUGACUGCGUACCUUUUGUAUAAUGGGUCAGCGACUUAUAUUUUGUAGCAAGGUUAACCGUAUAGGGGAGCCGUAGGGAAACCGAGUCUUAACUGGGCGAAUAGUUGCAAGGUAUAGACCCGAAACCCGGUGAUCUAGCCAUGGGCAGGUUGAAGGUUGGGUAACACUAACUGGAGGACCGAACCGACUAAUGUUGAAAAAUUAGCGGAUGACUUGUGGCUGGGGGUGAAAGGCCAAUCAAACCGGGAGAUAGCUGGUUCUCCCCGAAAGCUAUUUAGGUAGCGCCUCGUGAACUCAUCUUCGGGGGUAGAGCACUGUUUCGGCUAGGGGGCCAUCCCGGCUUACCAAACCGAUGCAAACUCCGAAUACCGAAGAAUGUUAUCACGGGAGACACACGGCGGGUGCUAACGUCCGUCGUGAAGAGGGAAACAACCCAGACCGCCAGCUAAGGUCCCAAAGUCAUGGUUAAGUGGGAAACGAUGUGGGAAGGCAUAGACAGCCAGGAUGUUGGCUUAGAAGCAGCCAUCAUUUAAAGAAAGCGUAAUAGCUCACUGGUCGAGUCGGCCUGCGCGGAAGAUGUAACGGGGCUAAACCAUGCACCGAAGCUGCGGCAGCGACGCUUAGGCGUUGUUGGGUAGGGGAGCGUUCUGUAAGCCGUUGAAGGUGGCCUGUGAGGGUUGCUGGAGGUAUCAGAAGUGCGAAUGCUGACAUAAGUAACGAUAAAGCGGGUGAAAAGCCCGCUCGCCGGAAGACCAAGGGUUCCUGUCCAACGUUAAUCGGGGCAGGGUGAGUCGACCCCUAAGGCGAGGCUGAAAAGCGUAGUCGAUGGGAAACAGGUUAAUAUUCCUGUACUUGGUGUUACUGCGAAGGGGGGACGGAGAAGGCUAGGCUAGCCGGGCGACGGUUGUCCCGGUUUAAGCGUGUAGGGGGUGUGACCUGGUAAAUCCGGUUGCAUACUAACCCUGAGGCGUGAUGACGAUGCACUACGGUGCAGAAGUAGUUGAUGCCCUGCUUCCAGGAAAAGCCUCUAAGC